AUCGCUAUAAUCAUACAUGAAAAACUUUUCCGUAAUUACAAGAUCAGCCCCAGUUUAUUCUUCACAUGUCAAAAACAAAAUAAUAAUAAUAAUAUCAUCUAAUGUACAGCAGUUAUGGAGUACUAGUAUUUUAAUACAAUUAAAAAAGUCGCCUGAUCCCUCAUUCUUCAAAACUUACAUAAUUUAAUACCUCGUGAAUUAUGACUAAGCACUAAAUAGAUGAGUUUUCUCAGUAAAACUAAUCUAAUAAAAAAAAAAGGGGGGGGGAAUAACAAGCGGGUCGGGAUGGUCGCAGGAACUAACAAGGAAAGGAGCAGGUUGGUGAGAGAGACUGAGAGUAGUGGGAGGUGGUUAGCAUAACAUAACCUCACACCGAUUGAGUUAGAUUUGGAUCUUGACAAAUAAACUUGUUAUAUUUUUAGGUCGGAUUUGUAUCGCACUGCGGAACAAUGUAUUUUAAAUCAAGUACAGUAGUAUAAUAAAAUACUCUAAACAUGAGAUUUUUGGAGACAUGAAAAUAUGGGACGAUCUCAAUCAUAGAUUAAAAAUAGAAUGAAAAUAUAUGGUGGAGAGGAAAUGAAAUCCAUCUAACCUAACCAAAAAAAGUCCCAUUAUAAUAGUGAGGUUAACGAAGACGCGUUGAAGUGUGG
rnacentral:lncRNA from 1 species